UACAGAGGGUGCGAGCGUUAAUCGGAAUUACUGGGCGUAAAGCGUGCGUAGACGGUUAUCUAAGUCGGAUGUGAAAGCCCCGGGCUCAACCUGGGAAUUGCAUUCGAGACUGAAUAGCUAGGGUACGGUAGAGGGAAGUGGAAUUUCCGGUGUAGCGGUGAAAUGCGUAGAUAUCGGAAGGAACAUCAGUGGCGAAAGCGACUUCCUGGACCAGUACCGACGUUCAGGCACGAAAGCGUGGGGAGCAAACAGG
rnacentral:rRNA from 1 species